rnacentral:rRNA from 1 species
GAUGAACGCUGGCGGCGUGCCUAAUACAUGCAAGUCGAGCGAAUGGAUUAAGAGCUUGCUCUUAUGAAGUUAGCGGCGGACGGGUGAGUAACACGUGGGUAACCUGCCCAUAAGACUGGGAUAACUCCGGGAAACCGGGGCUAAUACCGGAUAACAUUUUGAACCGCAUGGUUCGAAAUUGAAAGGCGGCUUCGGCUGUCACUUAUGGAUGGACCCGCGUCGCGUUAGCUAGUUGGUGAGGUAACGGCUCACCAAGGCAACGAUGCGUAGCCGACCUGAGAGGGUGAUCGGCCACACUGGGACUGAGACACGGCCCAGACUCCUGCGGGAGGCAGCAGUAGGGAAUCUUCCGCAAUGGACGAAAGUCUGACGGAGCAACGCCGCGUGAGAGAUGAAGGCCUUCGGGUCGUAAAACUCUGUUGUUAGGGAAGAACAAGUGCUAGUUGAAUAAGCUGGCACCUUGACGGUACCUAACCAGAAAGCCACGGCUAACUACGUGCCAGCCGCCGCCGUAA